CUCUUUGGCACAGUGGGUAGUGCAUCAGUCUAGCAAGCUGAAAGUCCCGGGUUCGGUCCUGGGAAGGAGG
rnacentral:tRNA from 1 species